AGUGCUCAUGGAGAGGCAGCGAUCACCUGUUUAACUUUYGAUGACAGCGGAAGAAGACUGGUUACAGGAGGCCGGGACGGCUGUUUGAAGAUAUGGAAUUACAAUAAUGGGCACUGUCUGCAUACUCUGAAGAGGGAAGACAAGCAUGAUGAGAUCUGUGACUGCACCUAUGUGGAGAUGAAUAAGAGCAGGUA